rnacentral:rRNA from 1 species
UACGAAGGGUGCAAGCGUUAAUCGGAAUUACUGGGCGUAAAGCGUGCGUAGGCGGUUGUUUAAGUCUGCUGUGAAAUCCCCGGGCUCAACCUGGGAAUGGCAGUGGAUACUGGACAGCUAGAGUGUGAUAGAGGAUGGUGGAAUUCCCGGUGUAGCGGUGAAAUGCGUAGAGAUCGGGAGGAACAUCAGUGGCGAAGGCGGCCAUCUGGAUCAACACUGACGCUGAGGCGCGAAAGCGUGGGGAGCAAACAGG